UGCCAGCCGCCGCGGUAAGACGAACCGGACAAACGUUAUUCGGAAUUACUGGGCUUAAAGAGUACGUAGGCGGCCUUGUAGGUUGGGUGUGAAAUCCAGCAGCUCAACUGCGGAACUGCGCUCAAAACCACAAGGCUUGAGGGAGACAGAGGUAAGCGGAACUGAUGGUGGAGCGGUGAAAUGCGUUGAUAUCAUCAGGAACACCAGUGGCGAAGGCGGCUAACUGGACUGAUACUGACGCUGAGGUGCGAAAGUGUGGGGAGCAAACAGGAUUAGAUA
rnacentral:rRNA from 1 species